rnacentral:rRNA from 1 species
UUCGCCCUUAGAGUUUGAUCCUGGCUCAGGACGAACGCUGGCGGCGUGCUUAACACAUGCAAGUCGAACGAGAAAGCACCUUCGGGUGUAAGUAGAGUGGCGAACGGGUGAGUAACACGUGAGCAACCUGCCUCUCACUUCGGAAUAACUCAGAGAAAUUUGUGCUAAUACCGAAUACUCCGUAUCUUUCGCAUGAUCGAUACGGGAAAGCCUUGUGCGGUGAGAGAUGGGCUCGCGGCCCAUUAGAUAGUUGGUGGGGUAACGGCCUACCAAGUCGACGAUGGGUAGCCGGGUUGAGAGACCGACCGGCCACAUUGGACUGAGACACGGCCCAGACUCCUACGGGAGGCAGCAGUGGGGAAUAUUGCACAAUGGGGGAAACCCUGAUGCAGCGACGCCGCGUGGAGGAAGAAGGUCUUCGGAUUGUAAACUCCUGUUGUUAGGGACGAUAAUGACGGUACCUAACAAGGAAGUGACGGCUAACUACGUGCCAGCAGCCGCGGUAAAACGUAGGUCACAAGCGUUGUCCGGAAUUACUGGGUGUAAAGGGAGCGCAGGCGGGAGAGAAAGUUGGAAGUGAAAUCUACGGGCUCAACUCGUAAACUGCUUUCAAAACUUCUCUUCUUGAGUGGUGCAGAGGUAGGCGGAAUUCCCGGUGUAGCGGUGGAAUGCGUAGAUAUCGGGAGGAACACCAGUGGCGAAGGCGGCCUACUGGGCACUAACUGACGCUGAGGCUCGAAAGUGUGGGUAGCAAACAGGAUUAGAUACCCUGGUAGUCCACACCGUAAACGAUGAUUACUAGGUGUUGGGGGAUUGACCCCCUCAGUGCCGCAGUUAACACAAUAAGUAAUCCACCUGGGGAGUACGACCGCAAGGUUGAAACUCAAAGGAAUUGACGGGGGCCCGCACAAGCAGUGGAGUAUGUGGUUUAAUUCGACGCAACGCGAAGAACCUUACCAAGUCUUGACAUCCUGCGACGGACACGGAAACGUGAACUUCCUUCGGGACGCAGAGACAGGUGGUGCAUGGUUGUCGUCAGCUCGUGUCGUGAGAUGUUGGGUUAAGUCCCGCAACGAGCGCAACCCUUAUGCUUAGUUACUACGCAAGAGGACUCUAAGCAGACUGCCGUUGACAAAACGGAGGAAGGUGGGGAUGACGUCAAAUCAUCAUGCCCUUUAUGACUUGGGCUACACACGUACUACAAUGGCGUUAAACAAAGAGAAGCGAGACCGCGAGGUGGAGCAAAACUCAAAAACAACGUCCCAGUUCAGAUUGCAGGCUGCAACUCGCCUGCAUGAAGUCGGAAUUGCUAGUAAUCGCAGAUCAGCAUGCUGCGGUGAAUACGUUCCCGGGCCUUGCACACACCGCCCGUCA